rnacentral:rRNA from 1 species
CACGUAGGGGGCGAGCGUUGUCCGGAUUUAUUGGGCGUAAAGAGCUCGUAGGCGGCUCAGUAAGUCAGGUGUAAAAACUCCAGGCUCAACCUGGAGACGCCAUCUGAUACUGCUGUGGCUAGAGUCCGGUAGGGGAGCAUGGAAUUCCUGGUGUAGCGGUGGAAUGCGCAGAUAUCAGGAGGAACACCAAUGGCGAAGGCAGCUCGCUGGGACGGUACUGACGCUGAGACGCGAAAGCGUGGGGAGCGAACAGG